CUCUUCCCCUUCUUCUUUCCAGAACUCCUCCCGACUUCUUCUCCUUCUCCCUUUCAUCUCCUUUCUUCUCCCGCGAAGGGAGGAAGGCGAGCUCGGGAGGAAGGCUAGCGGGAGCCCACCCCACCGUGGGGAGCGCAGGAAAGGCCUCCGACCGAGGAUCGGCGGCGCUACGGCCAUGGAUCCACCGGAUCUGUAUCGGCACCUUGCUCUCAUAGCAUGCAUUUGUUGCCGAGCAUUCCUGCUACAGUGAUUCUAGAGGAAGAUGGGGCAGUUGAUUUCUGCUGUUAUUUUGGUGGAAAUCUUGACAACUAUUUUCCUCAUAUUUUUAGUAUGAAUUCAAGAAACCAAGUUAACCCCAAUAAAAAAAUACCCUAUUUUUGCAAGUCUACUUUCCUGUAUGUGGUUCUCUACAAUGGGGUUGUUGGGCUACCUUGACAGGUACAAUGUUUCUAUGGAACUAGAAGGGCGCCUUUGAAUAACUUGUUCAAUAUUUUACCUCCCCCUCCAGAAAUAGGUAAAAUCACCUUUUGACCCCUUCAACUUCGCUUGAACUGCACUUACACCCCCUAUUCUUUAAAAACUUUUAAUUAGAUCCUUGAAAUUACUCAAGUGAUCCAAUGUGAUCCUUCUAUCUUUGUUUACCGGAUCAAUAGAAACUGUAGCACGUGAUCAUCACGCGACAUUUGAAAAAAUAUUUUAGGACUAAAAUACCCUUGUUAUUAUUUAACUAAAACAUCUCUCCUACACAACCUUGUCUAGCUAGUAGAUUGUGUCCACCAAGUCUGUCACCUUGUUGCAGCAUCUGCCUUGACAGCACAUUCACUGGCUCAAAUGCAUCAUCUACAUCCCAGGCCCAGCCCUCCUCUUCCUAGCACAUUCUUGUUCAUCAAAAUCAACUGCAACUGUUUCUCUGCUCCUCUCUACCAUCUCCUCAACCUCCUCGAAAGCUCUUCUGCAACUCCGCCUAUGUAUUAAACAACCCACCAUCUCCGCCUCCUGCUUAGUGUGUUUAGAUGCAAUGCAGCUGAUCAUAAAUGGCUAUACGUAUCAUACAAACUGAGGUGUCAAUUACAAAGUAGGACAUAGUGCACGCAUUCUGAUAUGUUUUCUUUUCUUUAGCUAUGGCUGAAACUAGAUCGGAUACAGAUCGGAUGCCAAUGUAUCCAUAUUCAAUUUUGUUUUGUUUGACGAAUACAGAUAUGGGUAUGGAUGUUAGUCGGAUGCAGAGAUUCAUAUCCAUAUUUAUUUUAAAUGGAUACAAAUACAAAUUGGAUACCGAAAGAAUGGAUAUAAAUAAAGAUAUAAGUUUGAUGAUUAAACUGUAUAACCAUAGAAUUAAGGAUAUUAAUAAGUGCAAGGUAAAUCAAUUUAAUAGCAUGUUAAUGUGGUCAUUUAUUUUUCUUAAAAGAUCAUGAGCCCUAUAUAAAAUUAAAUAGGGUUACAAAUAGAAUUAGAUAUUCGGAUAUGGAUCAUAUAGUUGUCUAUCCAUAUCCAUGUCCAUAUCCGUUUUUCUUACAGAUACAGAUAUAAAUAUAGAUAUUAGUUGGAUGGUCUAAUAUCUAUCCAUAGCCGGAUAGUAGAUUCGGAUACGAAAAUAGAUCUGGACGGAUAUCAUCCAGUCCACUUUCACCCCUGCUUUUGGUUGUACUGGCAGGUUGUUUGUUGUGGCACUGACAUAUCUAUCAAAUUGCCAUACAAGUCUGUACUCUGCAUUAAAAGAAAGUUUCCGUCGCCAUAGCUGGCUACUGCAUCAAGUUUCUGCUACUCUUGUAUCCCCCUCAAGCAAGUAAAUGGUGCUGUAAUUAUGCUGUAAGGAUGUGAAGGCUGAGGCUGUGGGGUAGAGGGAGAGGAAGGACUCACUGAGGCCACAAAGUGUUUGAUGAAAAUGGUGCUGUGAUGGAAUGUUGUUUUGAUUUAAUGAUAUUUCUAGUCUUUUCUGAAGUUCUAUCAAUAUAAAGGGUAUUUUUGUUAUUUGAGAAGUACUGUAAUGGUGCUAGAUGUUAGAUAGGGCAAAAGGUCCCUUGGGAUCCAUUACGUAGUUCGAAGGAUCUGCUUAAAAAGUUUUAAGGACAGGAGUUGUAAGUGGUCAAGGAUAUUGUCAUUGUUCCUAGUGGUCAAGGAUAUCGGUGAAAUCUAACAUUUUUAAAGUAUACAAAUGUGUCCAGCUUUGUAACCAAUGUGAAUUGAUUUCCUUGUGCUGAUUGCUAUUAUAUAUUUUAUGGAUGUAUCAACAAUCUGGUGUAAAUUUGCUCGUUAUGUUAUUUUGCCGUAUCUGUGAGAUGACUGCUUGGUUUGGACCCCAGUGACAGCAUAGUAGUGUGUAUUGGUGCCAUGCUUUCUGAUUAUGUCUCUUGCCAAAAGCGCUUGCUGGGUUCAAUUGUAGUUGCAGUCAUUUUACUCAGGUGAUUUUUGCCAACUUGAUGUUGCAGCCAAGCAUAGUACCCACUAUUUUGGAAAUAUACUGAAUAUGGCCUAGUACUUCAAUUCUUCAAGUUGGAAGCAUAGGGUGGUUAACAAUGUGAAGUCGCAAGAAACUGCUGCUACUCUGGCAUCCAUGGAGGUGGAAGAUUAGGCUGCAUCUGCUAUGAUGGAUUCAUAUGAUAACAGGGCCCGUUUCAUGUUGAUGGAAUAGGAAAUUGUGUUAAGCCAAAAGGGAAAAAAAUGGUCAAGAAGGAUAAUUUUAACCUGCCAAUUGUGUAGUCAUAUAAUCCACAUGCCGUAGAAACAGAGAUGUAUAUGAAAGAGACAAAUAAUUUUCAUGGAGACCAACAGCUGCAUUGAUGUUGUGCGGUCACAGGAUGGCUGUUUUAUAGGAUAUCUUCUGCUACUGGUAUCAAGAUAGCUUGAAGAUUUAUAAGACAAAAGGAAGAGAGCUGAUAAGUUUUGAAGACGGGUGCAAUGGCAGGUUAAUGGUUGCAGCGAGGGCACUGGAGAGUGCUGCAGUAUGGAUGCUGUGUGUUUGCUUUGUUCAACAAGAUAGUGUAUUUUAUUUGCGCAACUCUAAAUUUUAGUCAUGCAAGCACAAUCUUUAUUUUCUCAAAGUGGAGUCUUUCAAAACUUGAGCAUUUCACGAAA